GUGGGGAAUAUUGGACAAUGGGCGAAAGCCUGAUCCAGCCAUGCCGCGUGUGUGAAGAAGGUCUUCGGAUUGUAAAGCACUUUAAGUUGGGAGGAAGGGCAGUAAGUUAAUACCUUGCUGUUUUGACGUUACCGACAGAAUAAGCACCGGCUAACUUCGUGCCAGCAGCCGCGGUAAUACGAAGGGUGCAAGCGUUAAUCGGAAUUACUGGGCGUAAAGCGCGCGUAGGUGGUUUUGUAAGUUGGAGGUGAAAUCCCCGGGCUCAACCUGGGAACGGCCUCCAAAACUGCAUGACUAGAGUACGGUAGAGGGUAGUGGAAUUUCCUGUGUAGCGGUGAAAUGCGUAGAUAUAGGAAGGAACACCAGUGGCGAAGGCGACUACCUGGACUGAUACUGACACUGAGGUGCGAAAGCGUGGGGAGCAAACAGGAUUAGAAACCCUUGUAGUCC
rnacentral:rRNA from 1 species